rnacentral:misc_RNA from 1 species
UUUUUCAAACGCCAUGAACACUGUUGCUACUGCUGCAGCGCUCUCUCUCCCCAUUUCUCUCUGCAGAUCAUCUAUCCUUAAUACUAAAAAGGGAGUUAGGGGUGGAUUUCGGGUGUUUGCAGUAUUUGGGGAGGAAGGUGGGCCGCUAGAUAAGAAGAGUUUAUGGGGUACCAUCUUUGACGUUGAGGAUCCAAGGUCUAAGAUACCACGAUCUAAAGGGAAAUUCUUGGACGUAAAUCAAGCACUCGAACUGGCUAGAUAUGACAUUCAGUACUGUGACUGGCGAGCUCGACAAGAUGUUCUCACCAUCAUGCUCCUUCAUGAAAAGGUCUUAUAUUUUUUAACUCCUUGAGCUAAUGUUUGUGUUUAUGAUAGAUAAUAUAUUGGGCAGAAUGGAAGUUGAUUUAAAUUUGAGUUAUGGAUACUAUAAUUAAUUUGAGUCUGUUCUUUGAGCUUUUAGUUCCCUCAAAAUCAUUGUACAUAUGACAUUAGAAUCUGACACUGUCUAUAUUAUCUAAGAUUAUUAUGUUGCAUUUUUUUAUGGGCUUAUCUUUUGCAAGUUGACUUCUUACCUUGAGAUAUACGGAUGAAGGUUGUGGAAGUUUUAAAUCCUCUAGCUCGCGAGUACAAGUCAAUUGGAACCUUGAGGAAGGAGCUUGCUGAGUUGCAAGAAGAACUAGCCCAAGCUCACCAACAGGUCUGCAGAUUAUACAUAUUGAGAUGGAAAAUAUGGCCAAAAACAAAAUUUUAAAUAUUUUUCAUAAGCCAAAUGAGCCAGGAAUAAUUAUUAAUUGGUUACAUAGAUUCAUUAGAUUGGGAUGCAUCCUGUAAAUCCAGUGAGACCUAUGUUCAUCAAUACUCUGUGAAGAAAAACCCUUCAUUGUUUACCAUUCAAGUGAUGAGAUUCUUUCCUUCAUCUUCUAUUUCAUCCACAUUAUGAUGUCUGAUCCAUAAAUAAAAACAGGUUCAUAUAUCUGAAGCAAGGGUUGCUACUGCUUUAGAUAAACUAGCUUACAUGGAAGCAUUGGUUAAUGAUAGGCUGUUACAAGAUAGAAGCACAACAGAGUCUGACCAAACAUCCCCUCCUCCUAGUACUUCUACCCAAUCUCUGGAUACUGUAAAAGGGAGAUUGCCAUGGAAAAGCUUGAAUGUUUCAGGUCCAGUUCAACCUUACACUUCCUACCUUAAGAAUUUCUGGUAUCCUGUUGCCUUCUCUACUGAUCUGAAGGAUGACACAAUGGUAAGCUACUCUUUCAAGUAUAAGUGAUUCAUGCUUUAUUAUUAAAUACUUAUUUUCCAGAUACCAAUCACAUCAUCUAGUGUCAUCACAAAUGAAAUUUUCAAGUCAUUGCAUAGGACAAGUAAAAUGAAUUAUACCACUGCAUCAUUAUCAUCAUCAUCUGACUUAUUUUGUUGUUUUUUUUCUUUUUUCCCUUUGUUCCCUGGGAAACCUUUCUGAGCUGUAGAACCUCAAUUAUUUGUGGAUGUCUCCUCACAAGUUAUUUUACCUCUGUUUUAGAUUCCGAUUGAUUGUUUUGAGGAACCAUGGGUUGUCUUUCGUGGGAAAGAUGGGAAACCUGGAUGUGUCCAGAACACCUGUGCGCAUAGAGCCUGUCCUCUUCACCUUGGUUCAGUAAAUGAGGGUCGGAUCCAAUGUCCUUACCAUGGAUGGGAAUACUCAACAGAUGGAAAAUGUGAGAAGAUGCCAUCUACACGACUACUUAAUGUGAAGAUAAAGUCAUUGCCAUGUUUUGAGCAAGAAGGGAUGAUAUGGGUUUGGCCUGGCAGUGACCCUCCAGCAGCAACGCUUCCCUCACUAGAGCCUCCUUCAGGUUUUGUAGUCCAUGCUGAGAUUGUCAUGGAACUUCCAGUGGAACAUGGUCUUCUUCUGGAUAACCUGUUAGAUCUUGCGCAUGCCCCCUUUACUCACACAUCUACCUUUGCAAAGGGUUGGAGUGUUCCCAGCUUGGUGAAAUUUUUAACGCCUGCAUCUGGGCUCCAAGGAUACUGGGACCCCUAUCCAAUAGAUAUGGAAUUCCGACCACCUUGUAUGGUAUUAUCAACCAUUGGGAUCUCAAAGCCCGGAAAGCUAGAGGGGAAAAAUACCAGGCAAUGUGCAACUCAUCUUCACCAACUUCAUGUAUGCUUGCCUUCAUCAAGACAAAAGACUAGGUUAUUAUACAGAAUGUCUCUUGAUUUUGCUCCCGUGCUAAAACACAUUCCUUUCAUACACCAUCUAUGGAGACAUUUUGCUGAGCAGGUAACAUAAUUGUUAAAAUGAACCUAUGUAUUUAUGUUAAUGGUUGAUAUGGAGAGUAGUUUUAACUUUUUAGCUGAAUUACCACAUUGUUGCGUGGAAUUGAUUCAAGGUCUCAUCCAGCUAUGAAGAACUGUGAUUAAUAAUCAUCUUUCCAACCAGAAAGGCUGUGCGUGCUGGUUGAUGCCCCUAGUCUCCUAGAUGGUGUAAUCCUUUUAGAAAUUCCAGCAAUUAGGUGCCAGGUUUCUGAAAAACAUAGGCCUUAGACCAAGAGUCUUGGAUGAGCUGGUUGAGAUUUCUCCUUUUAGGGUGAGGAUAAAUGAUUAUUAACCCAAGAAGUUGGAUUGGUGUGAAGGUUGCGUCCUGUAGGUCUGGUUCCCAGCUUCAUCUGUUUGGUUGAUUGUGGGCCUUAUCAAACUAGAAUUGCCUAGCCAGCGAAUGGUUAAGAUUCCCCGUCACUAGAAAUAAGGGUCUUCUUUUUCCCCUUGUGGGGGUUGAUAAAUUAGAAUUUCUUCCCCUAGGCUUCUUACGUCUCAGUACUUCUGCCUUGUAUGAAACAGGUAUUGAAUGAAGAUCUGCGGCUUGUAGUUGGGCAGCAGGAGCGAAUGAUCAAUGGGGCAAAUGUUUGGAAUUCACCAGUUUCUUAUGAUAAGCUAGGAGUAAGAUAUAGGCUAUGGAGAGAUGCUGUGGAAAGAGGAGCAAAGCAAUUACCUUUCAGCAAAUCAACGUAAAGAAAACAGAAAACCUCUACGAUGAAUCUAACUUCUCUGGAUGCAUUACAAGUAUCAACCCCUCUUUAUCCAACAUAACAAUCCCGGAGCAGGAUUGCAAAUAAAGGAGCACUGCUAGAGAAUGUUGUGCAGUUU